CGCCUACGGGACGCAGCAGUGGGGAAUAUUGCACAAUGGGGGAAACCCUGAUGCAGCGACGCCGCGUGAGUGAAGAAGUAUUUCGGUACGUAAAGCUCUAUCAGCAGGGAAGAAAGAAAGUCCUUUGGACUUUGGACGGUACCUGACCAAGAAGCCCCGGCUAACUACGUGCCAGCAGCCGCGGUAAUACGUAGGGGGCAAGCGUUAUCCGGAUUUACUGGGUUUAAAGGGUGCGCAGGCGGCGAGUUAAGUCAGCGGUAAAAUUUCGGGGCUCAACCCCGACGAGCCGUUGAAACUGGCUUGCU
rnacentral:rRNA from 1 species